CAGCCUCGCGCGGCGUGCCGGCGGAAGGGCGACUUGCGAUUGGCCGACGCGGAGGGGGCGUGCACGGCGGCGGCUAGGCGGAGGUGGGCGUGUCCACACCGGGUGUCAUGAGAGGGGUAAGCGGUGGCGAUGUGGGCACUCCGGGGCGCAUCCGUUAUUACCGUCGCGAUCGAUAUGUGGCGGGGAUACGUCAAAGGCCGUCGUCCGUCGCCAUAGAUAACGUCGCGUGCCGGGGAUGGGAUGCGGCGUGCCGCGCGCUGAGGCGCACGCACGCGUCAGUACAAAGGAGGGAGGAAGGAGUUGCCUAUUCGACCGGAAGGAGAUUCACGCCACCGAACUUUUGUUAUUGUUCUCUCUCUGUUGAAUGAGACUCUCUCUCUCUCUUCUUUUUUUUUUUUGUUCUUCCCCCUCUUUUCUUUCUUCCCCCCCGCUUUUCUUCUCGCGGCAGCAGUCGCGCCGCGUUUUGCCUCGUUCCGCGACCGCUUUAAAAGCCACAUUGUCCAGCCCGGUCGACGCGGCCCGUCAUGUUCGGCCGCCAGCCUUUGUGAGGUAUAGACCAGUGACAGGCCGCACGUCUGAGUCGGAGAUGGCCAUCGCCCACGUGGCGACGGAGUACGUGUUCAGCGACUUUCUGCUGAAGGAGCCCAGCCACGGCCGGUACCGCAGCGUGCGGACGGAGCUGGCGCUGGACAAGAUUGUGACGUGCGUGGCGGUGGGUCUUCCUCUCCUCCUCAUCUCCCUCGCCUUCGCCCAGGAGGUCUCUGUAGGUACGCAGAUCAGCUGUUUUGCUCCCACGAACUUCUCCUGGAGACAAGCUGCUUAUGUUGACUCUUACUGCUGGGCGUCCGUACACACACACACACUACCUCUGUGGCUGCACAAGUUCUUUCCCUACAUUCUGUUGCUGGUGGCAGUGUUGAUGUACACCCCAGCACUGUUCUGGCGGUUCUCCGCGGCACCGCUGCUGCAGUCAGACCUGGGCUUCAUCAUGGAGGAAUUGGACCGAUGUUACAACCGGGCCGUGACCUUGGCCAAGCGCAUGGCCACCUCAGGCCUCCCCUCCACAGACAGUGACCCCACGGAGGGCUGCUUCAUGUACCCUUUGGUGGAGAAGUACCUCAUGACGAAGCGCUGUUCUCGGGCCUUGCUGUGUCGAUACCUGCUGUGUCGCGGUCUGACGCUGGUCACGCUGCUGUGCGCCUGCGUCUACCUGGGCUACUACCUCCGCCUGGCCUCCGUCACCGACGAGUUCGGCUGCUCCCUGCGUACAGGCCUCCUUUCCUCCGACUCCUCCGUCCCCGACAAGGUUCAGUGCAAGCUCAUCGCCGUAGGAGUGUUCUCCCUGCUCAGCUUCGUCAACCUGGUCUUGUUCAUUGGGCUGAUCCCGGUGGUGAUCUAUGCCAGCCUCCGCCCGCUCUUCUGCCACGGAUACGCGCGCUUCCUGGAAACCUACCAAUCCCUGCCAACUGUGAGCGUUCUGCCCACGCCUGGUGGCCAAUGGGAUGACCUCGCCCUCUAUCUGCUCUUCCUGGAAGAGAAUCUCAGUGAAUUGAAGUCUUACAAGUACAUCAAGGUGCUGGAGUUACUGAGGAGACGUGGGCAAUGUUCCGGAGAGGACUUCGACUCCAUGGGUCUGCUACAGACGCUGUGUCUGGUCAAGACUGACACCGUGGACGGGAACAAAGCUGCAAGCACCACGCACAAACAGGACAAACCUAAAGUUAACCCCGCCGACCCCAAUGGGAGCCCCGAGGCAGCGGCCAGCUCGGAUGGUCCAAAGUCCAGUGACAAGGGCAUGGAGACGGAGAUGAAGGGAGGGGCUGGACCACUGUGUGCUUGAAACGGGUUGGAACGGUACCAGUGGCCAGGGAGCUGUUGAUAAUGGAGAGGAUCCUGGGCCCGGCUAUGUCAAGACAUCCUUCACGAGGGCAGUAGGAACAAUGUCAUGGGGGCAGGUUGUAGGUUUCAUGAUGGAAACAAUCUUUUUAAGGAGCUCGCUCCCCUGCUGUCGGGAAACCGUGAGAAACUAGGCGACAUCAAACAGGGUGAAGGAGGAGCUCUUCGACAGCGAGCAAUCUGAUUGACUGUCGGCACGAGGGUGGAGACUGACUGGUUGUACCCAGAGAAGUUGAUGGUUUCAGCCUCCAUUCCAGGGCUGGAGGAGGGUCAUCUGAUCAUCUUUUGCCCGCACCUGCAACUUGGUUCUCACAACUCCACAAACCGCUUUUUGUAAACCCAGUGGGCGCACCGAACAAGUCUGCCGCCAAACAUAUACAAAAGACGGCUUUCAUUAGUUCCCCUCUUCAUUUGAAUGUUUCCCAGGAUGUAAUUGGUUUAAGUAAUGGAGAUGCUGUCUGCCCCCCCCCCCCACCACCACCACCUUUUAUGCCUUUUGACAACACCCUCAACCAGACUGCGUUUCCUUCUUCGGGGCAUCCCCAAAUUAGGUAGAAACAAAGCAAAGCAGAGAACGACUGCGAUCCUGACUGUCUCAUAGUCACAUCCGUGUUGAUUUCAGGAUUCAGAGCAAAGCAGAGGACCAGCCAGCUGUUCUGCUCCGUUUGUUUCUGAGUCACAAUGACCUCACAGACCUCAACCCAUGACUCAUUUGGCCUUUUUUUAUAUUUUGGAAAGAAACACUACACUAAGAAAAGCCAAGAAAAAUAAAAAUAUGAAACUGCUUCUAUCGUUAUGUACUGAUGGAUGUGUAGGGACUAAUGGCUAAAUGGACUGUCGGAGAGGAAAACCGUUUAAAACAAGUUAAGCUGCGAACUGCCAUUGUUUGACUAAAACCACUUGCCAGCAAAACAUUUGAUCAGAUUUCUUCCUUUUAGAGGAGGGAAUCUCAUUAUCUCAUUGACUCAAUGUUUUUUUUAAUAUCAUACAGGAAGCUUUUAAAAGGGUGACAGCUGAUUGCAAAACUGACUUAACUCUUAAAUGGCCUUAAAAGCUUUCAGAUGUGCCUUGUAUUUAGCUGAGGGAAGAAAACCACCAUUAAGUCGCAGGUAGGUUGACGUCUGUAUUGGCAGAAUAUUGAGUUGCACUAAUGUCGCUGUGGGAGAAUGUUGUUUUUAUGAGAUUUUCUGUCACAUUUCAAACUGGUGUUUUAAACAGGAACACCGUUUGAUGUAAGUUUAUUCAUGCUUGUAAUGUGAUAUAUGUCCAGACUGGAACUCCAUUGUCUUGCAAGUGUCGGUACAGGUUUUAUUUAAUCUGUUUUUUUUUGUUUUUUGUUUUUUUUAGAUAAUAGGAGUUAUUCUGUUUACGGUUACUAACUUGACUGGAAGACCAGAGUUUCUGUGAAGAACACGGUACAUUGCAAUCAUAUGAACUGGAUUUAAAAAAUAAUAAUAACUUCUAAUCUCAGUCUGUCUUAAACUUUUUUUUCUCAUGUAACAUUAGACAAUAGUUAACAGUUGCACAAAGGUACAAUCAGAAGUACUGUAUGUCCAUUAAGGAAAAGACAGCGUCACAUGUUCAUUAUUCAACAUAGAACAGAUUCUCACUUAGUGAAAAUAGGACUAAUUUGUAUGUAAAACACUCUGGUCCCUAAAUAGCCUUGGUAAUAUUUACUUGUGAGUUUUUCCCCCUUUUCUCCUCAGUGAAUUUAGCCAUAGUUGAGAUCUGUUUUUUUAAAGCAAGUUUCCCGGAGACAGGGAUCCAUUUUAACCCACUGUUCUGGAUGUUUGAGUCAGGCCCCAAGUGUCAUGAUAGACAAGGUACUCAAGAUAAAUCUAUUUCCUCGGGAAUCUCAGGAAGCUUUGUUGAAUUAUGUAACAUGGCUGUUUGUCACUUGUGUUUUAGAGUUCCCUUGCAUUGUGUAACUGGACAUGACCUGUGGCCUGCCUGUAUAUGCUGCAUUCAGUGGAACACGUUUCCUUAUGGGGCAUGUGUCCCGGGGUAUAAUCCACUGUUUUACAUUGGUUUGUAUGAGUUUGUGAUUUGUUUUUCAAAAUGCUAAGUAUGUAAAUGUUUUGCGAGCUUUCAUUCUCUGCCUUCAGACAACAUCCAGAUGUAAAAUCUGUGAAAUAAACUGCUGAUAGUUGCCUUUAUGUUAUCAUAAUUGUAAUAUUCAAUCUGCAGUUGGUAGUUUAAAAUUGAAUACAUGAGAAAAAGAGCUUUAUUAGGAGUUUGUAAAAUGGGGAACUUGUACUGUGUUUUUCUGUGUUUGCAUACUUUAAACCAAGUGUUUAAAAACCCAACUGAGGUCGAAUGAUAGUAUCGGUCUUUCAGACUUGGGCCGUUUCCAAGGGCAACAUGACGCCGGGCGCCAUCUUCCAAGGAUCAGCGGCAUUGUUAACGAAUUAGCUAGCACUUUAGCCAUUGACUUAGCCAUCUGUUAGCAUCACAUUUGCCUUUACCCUUAUCCGUACUUCACUGCGAUGUUUAAUGAACGUGAUCGAUUUGCGUCUCACUGCUGCAACCCAGGCCAUCCUGCGCGUCUUGGUUAAGCCCUCUUAUGUUCUUUCCUUCGUUUCUCUUCCAAGAAGGGAAAGGGGGAAAAGCGUAACCCAUUCUCGAGUUUAAUACCGGAGCGAUCGUGGGAUUUGCUGCGGCAAUUCCUCACGCAACAGGAAAGCCCAGCCGUCUCGCCUGCGUGCAUAACCUAAUCUAAUAUGUAGCUUUAGAUAUCCAAUCUAACCUGAAAUGUUGCCUUAAAUAUUUUUUUUUUGCAUUUAUAAAUGUAUAUAUUGUA